rnacentral:rRNA from 1 species
UGGGGAAUAUUGCACAAUGGGCGCAAGCCUGAUGCAGCAACGCCGCGUGAGGGACGACGGCCUUCGGGUUGUAAACCUCUUUUGGCAGGGAAGAAGCGAAAGUGACGGUACCUGCAGAAAAAGCACCGGCUAACUACGUGCCAGCAGCCGCGGUGAUACGUAGGGUGCAAGCGUUGUCCGGAAUUAGUGGGCGUAAGGAGCUCGUAGGCGGUUUGUCGAGUCUGCUGUGAAAACCCGAGGCUCAACCUCGGGCCUGCAUUGGGUACGGGCAAACUAGAGUGCGGUAGGGGAGAUUGGAAUUCCUGGUGUAGCGGUGGAAUGCGCAGAUAUCAGGAGGAACACCGAUGGCGAAGGCAGAUCUCUGGGCCGUAACUGACGCUGAGGAGCGAAAGCAUGGGGAGCGAACA